CCCUUAGAUGUUCUGGGCAGCACGCGCGCUACAAUGGUCUUCGCAAACGGAUGCAUUCUCGAAGGAGAAUGCCAAUCUUGGAAUCUAUGCCUUGGUCGGGACAGUUGCUUGCAAUUUUUCGACUCGAACCAGGAAUUCCUUGUAAUCGUGAUUCAUCACAUCACGAUGAAUACGUCCCUGCCCUUUGUACACACCGCCCGUCGCUCCUACCGAUCGAAUAGUUAGGUGAAUUGUUUUGAUCGAUAAGAUUUGACUAUGGUCAACUCUCGUUGUGAAAUUCUGUGAAUCUGACUGUUUAGAGGAAGGAAAAGUCGUAACA
rnacentral:rRNA from 1 species